AGCGAACGCUGGCGGCAGGCCUAACACAUGCAAGUCGAACGAAGUCUUCGGACUUAGUGGCGGACGGGUGAGUAACACGUGGGAACGUGCCUUUAGGUUCGGAAUAACCCAGGGAAACUUGUGCUAAUACCGAAUGUGCCCUUCGGGGGAAAGAUUUAUCGCCUUUAGAGCGGCCCGCGUCUGAUUAGCUAGUUGGUGAGGUAAUGGCUCACCAAGGCUACGAUCAGUAGCUGGUCUGAGAGGAUGACCAGCCACAUUGGGACUGAGACACGGCCCAAACUCCUACGGGAGGCAGCAGUGGGGAAUCUUGCGCAAUGGGCGAAAGCCUGACGCAGCCAUGCCGCGUGGAUGAUGAAGGUCUUAGGAUUGUAAAAUCCUUUCACCGGUGAAGAUAAUGACUGUAGCCGGAGAAGAAGCCCCGGCUAACUUCGUGCCAGCCGCCGCCGUAACAC
rnacentral:rRNA from 1 species